rnacentral:rRNA from 1 species
ACGGUAACAGGGCUGUAGCAAUACAGUUGCUGACGAGUGGCAGACGGGUGAGGAACACGUACGCAAUCUACCUUUAUCUGGUGAAUAGCUCAGAGAAAUCUGAAUUAAUACACCAUAGCACUUUGAAAAGGCAUCUUUUUGAAAUUAAAGCCCCGGCGGAUAGAGAUGAGCGUGCGUCUGAUUAGCUAGUUGGUAGGGUAAUGGCCUACCAAGGCGACGAUCAGUAACUGGUGUGAGAGCACGACCAGUCACACGGGCACUGAGAUACGGGCCCGACUCCUACGGGAGGCAGCAGUAAGGAAUAUUGGUCAAUGGACGCAAGUCUGAACCAGCCAUGCCGCGUGAAGGAUGAAGGUCCUCUGGAUUGUAAACUUCUUUUAUUAGGGACGAAACCCUCGGUUUUCACCGGGGUUGACGGUACCUAAGGAAUAAGCACCGGCUAACUCCGUGCCAGCAGCCGCGGUAAUACGGAGGGUGCAAGCGUUAUCCGGAUUUACUGGGUUUAAAGGGUGCGUAGGCGGGUCUUUAAGUCAGUGGUGAAAACCCCGAGCUUAACUCGGGAACUGCCAUUGAUACUAUUGAUCUUGAAUUCGGUUGAGGUGAGCGGAAUGUGUCGUGUAGCGGUGAAAUGCUUAGAUAUGACACAGAACACCAAUUGCGAAGGCAGCUCGCUAAGCCGAUAUUGACGCUGAGGCACGAAAGCGUGGGGAUCAAACAGGAUUAGAAACCCUGGUAGUCCACGCCCUAAACGAUGAUUACUCGAUGUUAGCGAUACACAGUUAGCGUCUAAGCGA